rnacentral:rRNA from 1 species
UGGGUUAGUGGCGGACGGGUGAGUAACGCGUGGGUAACCUGCCUUACACAGGGGGAUAACACUUAGAAAUAGGUGCUAAAACCGCAUAAGCGCACAGCUUCGCAUGAAGCGGUGUGAAAAACUCCGGUGGUGUAAGAUGGACCCGCGUCUGAUUAGCUUGUUGGCGGGGUAACGGCCCACCAAGGCGACGAUCAGUAGCCGGCCUGAGAGGGUGAACGGCCACAUUGGGACUGAGACACGGCCCAAACUCCUACGGGAGGCAGCAG